rnacentral:tRNA from 1 species
AGUUAUUUGGCUGAUAGUAAAGCACAUGUUUUGAAAGCAUGCUAUAGAGGUUUAAAUCCUUUAAUAACUU